ACCCCACUUUCACCUGCUGUCUUCAGCUGUGAUGAUGGGACCCUUAAGCAUACGGUAUGCAAGUAUCGCAACUGUUUGGUUAUAACCUCAAGGAACACAUUGGAAACAAUGCAAUUCAGAGUGCUAAAAAUAAUGCUACUUCUAACUCACAUCUAUCACUUCAUAGGCAGCAUGCCAGGUAAGCAAAACAUAACAACUGUAGCUCAAACCUACGAUCAGUUGCUCCGGUGCCUUCUGAACAACAUUCAAAUGCCUGCACAGCCCUCCUGAAAAGGGCAGUGCAGUAACCCAACAACCCAAUUAAAAGAGCCUGGGCUGCCAUUGAGGGGUUGGCAUAAGAUAAGGAUGCAGCUGCUGGGAAUUGUGCAACUGGAAAAGCCCCUGACCCCAUCAAACAUUUGACCCGGCCUUAUCAAUGAAAAGCCCAAAAGUGAUGCCAGGAUCAUUCAAGCUGCCUUGCUACAUUCCCUGACAUGGAAAAGGAGAAGCUCACAACUUCUGCCCAGCUUUGUCGCUGGUAUAAUUCCAUUAGUAUCAGCCGGGGUGAAUAUAGCUCAACAUCUGUCAUUUCUUGGAUUUUCAGGCUGGAGGUGGGUUUGUUAAAAAUUGACAUAAAAUGGCUUUUCUGUCAUCCUACUUUGCCAUCAGAAUUUGCUUCCUUGCGGUAGAUCCUGGACAUUCUGGCUCCAUCGAAGCUGUAGAAGCAAUGCAUUUGGGGCUGCCAGUUAUGAAAUGUUUGUUCCCUGACUUGGUUAAUGCUCGGUUUCUUACCGUAAUGUAGCCAGGACCCAACUGUGUUUUAAUUGUGUACCUGAACAAAAGUUACCAUUUUGGACACAACAGGGCUAUAAUAGGGUCAUAGUUAAAACACACUUCAGCCCGGAUCCUCAAAGGAAUUUAGGCACCUUAAUUUCAAUGGCAGUUAGGUGCCCCUAAAUUCCUUUCAAGAUCUGGGUCUUAGAUCCUCUCUAAAAUGGAGCAGGAUUUUUACCGCAAUAGCCAGAUUGUCCAGGACAGAUGAGCACCUUCAUGUAGGAAUUCAGGUGCCUGAUCCAUGCCUAGGGUUAUUUUAAAACUAAAUUGGGCAAAGCAGUAGCAAAUCACCCAGUAGUGAACAAUUCUGCGCUGCCUUCUCAGGGGGACUGGGUGAUGUUCCUAUAAGAGGGGGAGGCUGGGGCAGGGGCAUGAGUCUGCAAUGAUGCAGGUGCACUGGUCAUAAAGCUUCCUGUUGCUGGGACUCGGAGAACAUGUCCCUGUCCCGCCCUACUGCAGGGUCUGGAAGAGGAGUUCUGUGUCCCUCCACAAAAAGCCCUCGGCCUUGGGCUUAGUGGAGGGAAAGGGAGCAAUAAUUAGCCUUGUUGUGGGCUGGAAACCGAAGCCAAUCUAUAGGAGGUACUUUUGUGGGCCCCGUUACCAUGGUAUCUAAGUGUCUCAGUCUUUAAUGUAUUUCUUCUUGCAGCACCCUCAUGUGGCAGGGCAGUGCUAUUCUCCCCAUUUUACAGAUGGGGAAUGGAUGUCCAGAGAUACUAAGGGUCUGCUUUUUAACAGUAUAUCGGAGCCUAAAGACACGGGUCAGCAUCCAGGUACCUAACUCCAAUGUGAGUUAGGGCCAGAUUAUUAAAGGUAUUUAGAAGUCCUUCAGGAACCUAAGUGACUCACCCAAGAUCACACCGGGAGUUUGUAGCAGAGUAGGGAACUGAACCUGGGUCUCUUAAAUCCAGCUACUGCCCUACCCACUGGACCAUCCUGCCUCUCGAAGUCAACAGGGAGUCUUCCCCUCAACUUCAGUGGGCUUUGGAUCAGGUCUUUAAGUAUGUGUUUAUUGCAGAGGAGAAGAGACUGUUUUCUGCCGAAAUGUCCUAGAUGUCUCUCUUGGGGUGUGGGGGGGGAGGUAACUGCUGACUGACUUGUACAAGAGCGAGAGGGAAGCUACCUCUGUAGCAAAGACAACAGGUGCUGAGGGAGGUUCGGUCCCAAGGGUAUCAGGAUGCCGACAUUGUCUUAGAAAGGCACAGUAAGUGCUGUGCUCAUGGAGACCUUCUGCUUAAUCCCAGCACCGUCCUGCCUCCCAAGGGCUUGUGAAGAUAGGAAUGUAACAGAUUGUGAGGCGCUCCGAUGUGUGAUGGUAAUGGGGAGCAUACAAAUACCAUUAGGUAGAUCUAAGCCAGAAUUAUGUCUCUGCCAGCGGUCGGCUUCAGAGGAAGGUGCAAGAAACCCAACCGUAGGCAGAUUUGGGAUAAUCUGCCCCCUAAUCCAUAGUAACUAGAGAUUGGUCUAAACCCUGUAGCAUGAGGUCCUUUCCUUUGCUUUUUUCGUAAUAUUUACUAUGAUAACUCUGGCUAGUCUUAACUUUUAAAUGUCCAGUCCUUCUUUGAACGUUGCUAAAUUCCCAGCCUCGGUGACAUAAUGUGGCAAGGAGUUCCCCAGUCUAAAUAUAUCUUGUGUGGGGGGAAAAAAUAUUUUCUUUGAAUGGUUUUUAAUGUGUGGCCCUUUGUCACCAUUUCCAGCAGGUGAGAACAGGACCCUAAAUGGAAUAGACAAGAAGAGCAACAGCUGCUACUGCACUAUGGCAAAGCUUUCGGUUGAAGUUUCAGUUGCCCAGAAGGGGCCUGGAUUGCUGGGCUCAGCUGCUGAGAUCACCUCCUCUGUCAGCCAAGCUGCCUGAGAACACUGUGUUUUCUCUCAGUUAGAGGUAUUAAACACUCCUCCUUAUAGCUUGAACUGGAUGCAAUAUUCUUCCUCUCUUAUGGUGCUGUGUAACAUUGUGCUCAGUUUAAAAACUGCUGCAUUUCACUUCAGAGGUGGCUGCAUCUCAGUGGCGCACGUGUUUGAAGCAAUAUUUUUUAAAGAGCAGUUCUACUCUGAUUGUGUAAGAAUGGCACAUUCUCAUCAGCUGUCCCCUCUGUACAUUUCGGAUUCUUACUUGCUCACUUUAGUACCCAGCGUUUGGCCCAUACAAUUUUUGUUACUGAUGAUUUUGCACAAGCCAGAAAAGAAACAGCUUGACUUUCAAAUCUCAGGAUGCGUGUGCAUCUUUGGCCGUGAGGGGGAAAAAGCAGCCAACAUUUGACUGGUAUACUGAGCAAAUCCACACCAAAAAUCACUAAGGCUCAAUAAACAUGGAACACUAAGGUGUCACUUUCCAGAGCGGAACCAAACUUGGAAUCUGAAGGCUAACGAGAGGAACAACUGCAUUGAAGAUAAGAGCUGAAGGAAACACAAGUCACAGUCAGAGAUUAUAAACUCUUUGGUGCACGGACCGUCCUUUUGUUUUAAAGUUGAGCACGUGCUUUGCUCAACUGGAGCCUAGUAUUGGACUUUACAAACAGAUGGUUUUGCAGCUCCCAUUGAUUUGGUUUCCCACAGGGUCUUUCCCAUUAACUGAGCAGUGGUUCAUCAACAAAGGACUUUAAGACCAAGGGAAAGUCCUUCAUUCUUGCUAGGCAAAACUCCCUAGCGACUUCCGUGGGAGUUUUGCUUAAGUAAAGACCAUAGGAUUUGACUCAGAUUAUCAGACACAUUUGUUUCACACUCACUCAUCUCUUAAGAUUUGUGGCUUCUCCUCUUCCCCUGAUGGGGCUGGGUUAGUCAAGGUGCAGAAGGGCUAUUUGUUUAAGCUUUGCAGUAUAUUUCAUUGUGUAACUCUUACGCCUUUGCCUUCUGUAUAAUACCCCUUUAUAAGGGCUCUCUGGUGUGCAGAGAUCAGCAGUUGCAGAGCAUGCAGUUCAGUGCAGAUUGUUUCAGAAGACACACACUGUGCCUGCUCUUGGAGACUUUACUUUUGUUCUUUCUUGCUUAGUUGUUCCCUUAAAUCUGAAAUAAAAGCUCUUCCUGGCU